GACGAACGCUGGCGGCGUGCUUAACACAUGCAAGUCGAACGAUGUCGCGCACGUGUGAGUAACGCGUAAUCCACCUGCCCUUCAGAGGGGGACUACAGUUGGAAACGACUGCUAAUACCUCAUACUUUAGGAGGGGGUUGCGUCUGAUUCGCUAGUGGGCGGGGUAACCGCCCACCAAUGCGAUGAUCAGUAGGCGGUCCUGGGGGAGUGACGGGCACAUUGGGACUGAGGCAAGGCCCAGCCUCCUACGGGAGGCAGCAGGGGGGAAAUUUCCGAAAUGGAGGAAAGUCGGACGGAGCAACGCCGCGUGAGUGAUGAAGGCCUUCGGGUUGUAAAGCUCUGUUAAGCGGGACGCGGUACCGGAAUAGAAAGCCACGGCUAACUACGUGCCAGCCGCCGCGGUAAUUC
rnacentral:rRNA from 1 species